rnacentral:misc_RNA from 1 species
AAUCCCAUACUGCAACGCUGCACCAGAAUGUUCAUUCACAAGCGCCAACACAUUAAUACCAGCCAAUUCCGCAGCAACAAGCAGCCCUUUCCUUUCCGCUACUCCCAUAUACGGAGGCACAGUCACCACAGCAUCUUUCACCGGUGUUCCCCUAGUAUGCGCUUCCGCCAAUCCAAGAGCAUACUUGAACAACAUCGCUACCAACUCCUCCGCCGUAAAAUUACCAUUUUCAGUUUUAAAAACCGCCACAUUCCGCGAUUCCUCGGGAGAAAUGUCGUAAGUCAGGUAAAGAGAUUCUAGGGUUUUGGAAACGUGGGGAAAGGGUUUUGAUAUUAGAUCACGGAGAUGAGAAUAGACCUUGUUUGGAUAGCGAGCGACGAUUCCAGAAGCUUCUUCACCGAUGAGGCGACUCUCGGAAUGAAAUGCGACGAGUGAGGGAGUUUUCCUUUUGGACAUUUCGUUAAUCGCUAUAGAGAUUGGAGGUUGUCCGGGUUUUAGGUUAACCACGGCGACUUUGAACCAUUCUGAUCCCAGAUCUAUGCUAGAAACUGCAGAUUGAGAUGGAAUCGGAUUUAGCAAAAACAGGGAUAGAAUUAUCCCUAUAUGGAACAACAUAUUCUUCGCCGGCAUCGGAAAAUCGGAGUUAAUCGGACAAAGAUCUCCG